rnacentral:rRNA from 1 species
UGCCAGCCGCCGCGGUAAUACGGAGGGGGCAAGCGUUGUUCGGAUUUACUGGGCGUAAAGCGCACGUAGGCGGCGUAUCUAGUUGGGGGUGAAAGGCCCGAGCUCAACCCGGGAACUGCCUUCAAUACUGAUAUGCUAGAGUCCGGGAGAGGGUAGUGGAAUUCCAAGUGUAGAGGUGAAAUUCGUAGAUAUUUGGAAGAACACCAGUGGCGAAGGCGGCUACCUGGCCCGGUACUGACGCUGAGGUGCGAAAGCGUGGGGAGCGAACGGGAUUAGAUA